GGGGACAUGGCGGAGAGGCCGAACGCACCAGACUGUAAAUCUGGCAUACCACACCCUGGUUCGAAUCCAGGUGGCCCCACCA
rnacentral:tRNA from 1 species